rnacentral:rRNA from 1 species
CUAACGUCCGGUGUCAAGAGGGAAACAACCCAGACCGCCAGCUAAGGUCCCCAAAUAUAGCUAAGUGGGAAACGAAGUGGGAAGGCUAAAACAGUCAGGAGGUUGGCUUAGAAGCAGCCACCCUUUAAAGAAAGCGUAAUAGCUCACUGAUCGAGUCGUCCUGCGCGGAAGAUGUAACGGGGCUAAGCUAUAUACCGAAGCUGCGGAUGCGUGCUUGCACGCAUGGUAGGAGAGCGUUCCGUAAGCCUGCGAAGGUGCCUUGUAAAGGGUGCUGGAGGUAUCGGAAGUGCGAAUGCUGACAUGAGUAGCGAUAAAGGGGGUGAAAGGCCCCCUCGCCGUAAGCCCAAGGUUUCCUACGCAACGUUCAUCGGCGUAGGGUGAGUCGGCCCCUAAGGCGAGGCAGAAAUGCGUAGCUGAUGGGAAGCAGGUCAAUAUUCCUGCACCAUUGUUAGAUGCGAUGGGGGGACGGAUCGCGGAAGGUUGUCCGGGUGUUGGAAGUCCCGGUCGCUGCAUUGGAGAAGGCGCUUAGGCAAAUCCGGGCGCGUAAUUCAAGGGUGUGGCGCGAGCUCCUUCGGGAGCGAAGCAAUUGGAAGUGGUUCCAAGAAAAGCCUCUAAGCUUCAGUCUAACGAUGACCGUACCGCAAACCGACACAGGUGGGCGAGAUGAGUAUUCUAAGGCGCUUGAGAGAACUCGGGAGAAGGAACUCGGCAAAUUGGUACCGUAACUUCGGGAUAAGGUACGCCCUUGUAGCUUGACUGGCCUGCGCCAGGAGGGUGAAGGGGUUGCAAUAAACUGGUGGCUGCGACUGUUUAAUAAAAACACAGCACUCUGCAAACACGAAAGUGGACGUAUAGGGUGUGACGCCUGCCCGGUGCCGGAAGAUUAAAUGAUGGGGUGCAAGCUCUUGAUUGAAGUCCCGGUAAACGGCGGCCGUAACUAUAACGGUCCUAAGGUAGCGAAAUUCCUUGUCGGGUAAGUUCCGACCUGCACGAAUGGCGUAACGAUGGCCACACUGUCUCCUCCCGAGACUCAGCGAAGUUGAAGUGUUUGUGAUGAUGCAAUCUACCCGCGGCUAGACGGAGAGACCCCAUGAACCUUUACUGUAGCUUUGCAUUGGACUUUGAACCGAUCUGUGUAGGAUAGGUGGGAGGCUAUGAAACCGGAACGCUAGUUUCGGUGGAGCCGUCCUUGAAAUACCACCCUGGUUUGUUUGAGGUUCUAACCUUGGCCCGUGAUCCGGGUCGGGGACAGUGCAUGGUAGGCAGUUUGACUGGGGCGGUCUCCUCCCAAAGCGUAACGGAGGAGUACGAAGGUACGCUAGGUACGGUCGGAAAUCGUGCUGAUAGUGCAAUGGCAUAAGCGUGCUUAACUGCGAGACCGACAAGUCGAGCAGGUGCGAAAGCAGGUCAUAGUGAUCCGGUGGUUCUGUAUGGAAGGGCCAUCGCUCAACGGAUAAAAGGUACUCUGGGGAUAACAGGCUGAUACCGCCCAAGAGUUCAUAUCGACGGCGGUGUUUGGCACCUCGAUGUCGGCUCAUCUCAUCCUGGGGCUGUAGCCGGUCCCAAGGGUAUGGCUGUUCGCCAUUUAAAGAGGUACGUGAGCUGGGUUUAAAACGUCGUGAGACAGUUUGGUCCCUAUCUGCCGUGGGCGUUGGAUAUUUGAAGGGGGCUGCUCCUAGUACGAGAGGACCGGAGUGGACGAACCUCUGGUGUACCGGUUGUCACGCCAGUGGCAUCGCCGGGUAGCUAUGUUCGGAAGAGAUAACCGCUGAAAGCAUCUAAGCGGGAAACUCGCCUUAAGAUGAGAUAUCCCUGG